AUGCGUUGUUGGGUAGGGGAGCGUUCUGUAAGCCUGUGAAGGUGGCCUGUGAGGGUUGCUGGAGGUAUCAGAAGUGCGAAUGCUGACAUAAGUAACGAUAAAGCGGGUGAAAAGCCCGCUCGCCGGAAGACCAAGGGUUCCUGUCCAACGUUAAUCGGGGCAGGGUGAGUCGACCCCUAAGGCGAGGCCGAAAGGCGUAGUCGAUGGGAAACAGGUUAAUAUUCCUGUACUUGGUGUUACUGCGAAGGGGGGACGGAGAAGGCUAUGUUGGCCGGGCGACGGUUGUCCCGGUUUAAGCGUGUAGGUGUGUGUUCCAGGUAAAUCCGGUUCACUUUAACACUGAGGCGUGAUGACGAGGCACUACGGUGCUGAAGCAACAAAUGCCCUGCUUCCAGGAAAAGCCUCUAAGCAUCAGGUAACAUCAAAUCGUACCCCAAACCGACACAGGUGGUCAGGUAGAGAAUACCAAGGCGCUUGAGAGAACUCGGGUGAAGGAACUAGGCAAAAUGGUGCCGUAACUUCGGGAGAAGGCACGCUGACACGUAGGUGAAGUGAUUUACUCA
rnacentral:rRNA from 1 species